rnacentral:lncRNA from 1 species
UUGUGGUUGACAAAUAUGAGAAGGUGGUUCAAGUUCCUCGGAUUGGCUGAACUUCGACGAUUAUCUGCAAUCAUCAUGGCUGGAUGGAUGGUUAGGAUUAACUGCUUGUUUAUAAUCACUUAACUAUGUAUUAGUAAAAUAAAUGAACAAGUAGUGUUGUUUAAUAAAGCAUGCAUGGAUGUGCGUGAUAUCCAACAAUCGGGUUCUACGAAUGAGUGUAAUAAUACAACCUUUAUGUCUACACUUUUUAUUUUUAAUUUUUUUUCCCCUUGAUAAGAAAGCACGCUUUCACAGAAUCAUACUAAGAAAAAGGAUACAAGAGAUGAGUUGGGCAAGUCCCCAAAAAAACACCAGAAAGCUAAUUUUGCGAUUACAAGUUCUAGAAGUAUGUUGAAUUAUAGCAUAACUUAGUCUCCGAAGCUUUUCUUGAACUUCAGAAAUAGCCCAAAAAAUCUCCAGCUUGCUGUUCUUCUUGUUAGCAAUUAAAUUUAUUACGUCUUGCCAAUCUGUUUCGAGUAUCAGUGGUACACUUGUUGCCUCUUCUGCAAUUUCCUAGCCCUAAUUAGUUGCUUCAGCUUUUGCAGAUGCUACACUGUCAUAGUAUUUUGACUUCUUCACUCAGCAGCUACAAACUCUCCAUUGUGAUUCCUGGUGACAAUCCCAGGCUUAGCAUUGAUUUUUAGACUUGAUGGUGGCAUCCACGUUCACUUUGAACCAGCUUUUAAGAGGGAGUGUCCAGCUUGGCUGAGUUGCAGACACUUGCCUUGAACUUGCUUUCAUUUGAGGGGCUUUAAUUUUUAUGUAGGACUCAACUGUUACUUCAGCUUUAGCCACUAAUACCUGAGAAUCUUCUUCUUCUUUGUUUUUUUUCCAAAGAUGAAAAGAUUUCUGGAGUGUCAAAUAACCCAAAUAGGCCAUUGCAUAUUAAUCAGAGGUUGAAUCGCGACAGAAUUACAAAGCAAACCACGUAGUCAAAUACAAAUACAAACAUGAAGGCUCAUGUUGCACCCUUUAUCUGUCCUACGCACUAAUGACGUCAUUUCUGAUAAAUGAAUGAAGACUAUAUGUUACUAUAACAUGCCAACACUAAAAUUUCUUGAUAAGAUUUAGACGAUGGCGAAAAUAAAAUUAUUCAAUAAUUAAAUUAAUGAUUUUGUAGAAGUAUAUCGGCCUAAUUCAUACUAAAAAACUAGCUUAGGAGUUGGGGUUGCCCAAACCUACCAACACUAAAAUUUUUUAUAAAAAUUAAACAAUGAUGGAAAAUUUAAAUAAUUGUAAAAAAAUUGAUUAUAUAGAAACCCAUAUGCCUAACUUAUACUCAAAAGUUAACUUAAAAUUUGAGGGUUACCCAAACCUUAUAUAUUUAACCCGCGAAUAAUCUUCAGUCGAUGUGGUAUAUUGCUUCUAACAUCACCCAUCAAGGGCAUACUAGUCCUUUUGUUUAGUCUUUAUCACGUGGUAAAAGUAGUAUUAAUCCUCAAUCGAUGUGGGAUCAAUAUUGUCCCUAACACCCCGGUUGCAAGUAGAUUGGUUUUUUGGUUUGGCCCUUGUCACCUGGUAAGAUAGUAUUCAUUAUCAACCGAUAUGAUAUAUUGCCCCUAAGACCCUUAGUCAUGAGCAAAUUGGUCUUUUAGUCUAGUCCUUAUCACUUGGUGAGAUAGUGUUCACCUUUAGUCAAUGUAGGAUAUUGUCCCUCCCCUAUCACAUGUAGACUAGUCUUUUAGUUUGGUUGUUGUCACAUGGUACAUUCGUGCAUGACAGUGGCUCAAAUAUCAUAUGGAAGUUCAUAAAUCUUUCUCAUACUUAAAAACUUGUUCAAUAGUUGAAGGUUACCCAAACAUUAUAUACUUAACACAAGUCUCAUCCUCAGUCGAUGUAAAAUAUUUUCCCUAACAAAUUGUCUCCACUUUGAUUAUUGAUUAAAAAAGAUUAAUUGUCCAUGAACAUAAAAAUUGAUUGACUCACUUUUGCUAAUUAAUAAUAAGUCAUCCUUAUUUGUGAUAUGGGCGCUCAAAUAAUAGUAAAUUUUAUUACAAUAGGAAUGUUCAAAAUAAAUUUUAAAGUGCAAAUAACUCUACAUCUUUUCUUUUUAUACUCAACUAACUCUACAAUAUGUAAUUUUUUACAGGGUAAAAAUUUUUUUUGUCCUUAUAUUUUGAGGUUGGUUCUCAUUUAGUCUUUAUAUUUUUAAAAUACCUUAAAAUGUUUCUGUCGUUAAAUUAUUGAUACCCAUGUCAUUACCUUUUAUUCCUUUUGAUUUGUUUUUAUAAUAUUACCCUCUUACAAGAAUGUUUCUUUUUUUUGGGGACAUUAAUAAAAGGGGGAUUGCCAAUUUCCCCCUUACAGUAAUCAAUAUAUACCAUUUCCCCCCCUACUAUUUUUAUAAUGGCUAAAAACCCCCUUGACAGCAUAAAUUUACAAUAUUACCCUUAUUUUCAACUACUCUUUUAUUUACAUUUAUUAUAAAUUAAAUAAAUUGCAUGAAUAGAAACUAAAUAAAAAAAUUAAGUAUUAAAAAUAAGAAAUAUAUGUUUUGAUAUAAGAAAAAAUUAAUAAUAAAUUUUUUUUGUAAUUAUUUAUUUUGUGAACAUUUUCUUAUAAUAAAAUUUUGUAAUAUUUUAAAAUUAGAUGUAAAAAAUAUGGGCAAAAUAUUUUAUUAUUUAUCUUAUAAUAAAUUUUUAUUUUUCAUUCAAGUUUUUUAUAAUAAUUUUUUUAUCAUUUUAUAAUAAUUUUCUUAUAUAUUUAUUAUAAGAAAAUUUUCAAAAAAUAAAUAAGUACAAGAAAAAAAAUUUUCAUCACAUCCAUGUAGAGCCUACAUAUUAAAUAAUAUAAGACCAUCAUACACGAUCGAUAUUAUAGAUGAAAAAAAAUUAAGAGAUUCCUUACAUAAUAAUAAUGUAAGUUAUAUUUAUCAUAAUGUUGCAUUAAAUAAGUAUAGAAUUGUAUUAAAUAAAUUAUAUUUAACUUGUUUAGUGGAACUUUGUAAUUAAUGUAAUUUACAUAUUAUGUAAGGAUUAAAGUCCUGAAAUAAAAGAAGAAGAAACUUAUGAUCAAUCUUUUACGUAGGUGUGGCAGAAAAAAUAAAUAAAUGCAUUAUGAUAUUAUGGAUGAAAUGAUUGAUGCAUGUGUCUACGGUCUACAUUUUGUAAAUAUCCAAAAAGAUAAAUGCAUGUGUUUAUGGUCCAAAAAAAAAAAAAAAACAAUAAGAAACUCGUGAUUCAAUCUUUGCCACAAAGUUUGUUGGUGGCUAUCCAAUGAAACACUAUUCGGCAAAAUAAUAAUUCACCCAACUUUUUCAUCUUUUCUAAAAAUUAAUUAAUUAUUAUUUUGUUAUUUAGUAUAAGAGGUACAAUUAUUUACGGGAACAAAAUGAGGCUUAUCCUAAGCAAGAACAUAACAUCAGACGAAAGCGAAAGAGAAAGAGAAAAAAAAAUUAAAAAAAAAAUAGCACUCUGAAAGAAAGCGAGAAGCAUAAAUCAAAGAAACUGAUAACUGGGAAUCUAUUAACAUCAUUACAAAGUAACUCUUGCAUAGCAAUAGGCGGCCUUUUCUAUCAAGUAAAAUCAGAACAGUGGAGAUCGGCCAUCGUACUAUUUGCUGCGCAAGUGUGAGUGCAUAAAAAAUUCGCGGUUGAGAUGUUAAUUUUUCUUCACUGAAAUUAAUAUAUAUUAUUUAUUUUUUUAUAAUUUUUAUAAUAGUUAAUAAUUUUUCUGACAGUAUAAUUUUACAGUAUUAUUCUUAUUUUUUAAAUACAUUUUUAUUUAUACUUAUUAUAAAUUAAAUAAAUCAUAAAAAUAGAAAUUAAAAUGUAUUUUUUGAAGUGAACAAAAAAUUAAUAAAUUGACGAUUUUCUUAUACUUUUUUUUAAAUGUUUGGUUAUAAUAAAUAUAUCUUUUAUAUUUUCAAGUUAAAUUAUCAAGAAAAUAACCCAUUUAUACCACUUUUCCUUUAAACAUUUGGUGGUAAGAAAAUUUUGGCUAUUAUAAAUAUCAUACAGUGUAAGUGAUACAUGUUAAUUUCAAUAAACGAAAAAAUUGACAAUCUCUUAAAUUUCAUAUCUAAGAGUUUGACCUUACAAUUCUACCAAUGAUUUUUGAGACACCAAGGAGAACCCAAAGAACCUAUAUGUAGGAAACUAACAAUCACAACUGAAUCACUCAAGCCAAAGAUUAUACGAUAUUUUGCGAUCCUCUAUCAAAGGCCAAUUCAAUUACCAUGAAAGCAGCCAAAAGCUCUGAAAAAUAUGCUGAAUUUUUAACCUCAUGCCAAUCCAAAACCACCCAAAUGAUUCCUAAAAGCUCCACCUCAAGCCAAUUGUACGGUUUCCUUUCGAUAAGCCGUCUGAAUCCGCCUUAAUCCAUCAAAGAUUGAGGUGGAUGAUUUAUAAUCAAACAAACUAAGAGGCUAGUUUGGGAUUGUGGUGGCUGAUAAAAUAAACUACUUCUAUUGAUACAGAUGAAAUAAGCAGCUGAUUAGAAAAGUAGCUUGGUGUUUGGUUAACUGUGUUAUUAUGGUUGCUGUGAGUUUGAAAAGUAAAAUACACAUGUUUAAUAAAUUUUAUUACAAAAGUGUUAUUUUAUUAUAUAAUGAAUAAAAUAGACAAAAGUUUAAACUGCCUUUUACUUUUGUAUGUUUAAUAAAUUGUGUAGACAUGCCUUUUUUCUUUUUAAAGCACAUAAAAUUACAAAAAGUGCAGAAAACUCAAUUGAAUAAUAUCUAAUGAACUUCAUAAUCUGUCAUAUAAAAUAUAAUAAAAAUUCAUACUCAUACAUAAUCUGAAUAAAAUAAAAAGAAAUAUGCAUACUUUCACAUUAAACUUGUUAUAAUAAUAAUCCUCAAAUUUUUCAUUCUUGUGAUCCAGAACCAUUAAUAUUGUAAUACUCUUCUUGAAUGCCAUCAUCUCUUUCUAUUCCUUUAUCAAAGAUUGAAUUAGGAUAAUUUUCAAUGUUGUCAAAAUAAAGACCAUAUUGUGCAUGCCUCCUCGUAUAAUUGUGUAAUGUCAUGGCUGCAAUGACAUAAUUGUUAUUAGUGUAAUUUGAUUGUGGCAGUAAUAUAAUAUCUAAUGGUUCAUAUAUUAGAAAAUUGUGGUUGCUUAUUUAAUAAGUUGCUUAUAAAAAAUAAAUCCUUACUUGCUUUUAAAAGUUGUUAUCAAAAUAUAAAAAAUUACGAAAUAAGUAAUUUUUAUAAAAAAUUACGAAAUAAGUAAUUUUUAUAAAAUUUAUCAAACACUAUUUUUGUAAAAAUUAUGAAAUAAGCAUCUUAUUGAGUUUCAACCUUAAUUUACAAAUAGUGCCUAAGUAACUUUGCCAAAAUUGAGAGGAAUUCCGAGGAAAAAAAGAAUAAUGUUUAGUAUAUUUAUAAUAAAGGACAAGGCUCAUUAUGUUCCCUUAAUUUGUGCUAUUUUUUUUAUUAGUUUUCAAUAAAUUCCUUGGAUCAUUUAAAAAAAUAUAUAUCAAUCAACACUAAAUUUAAUAGCCCCCAGGGGUAACUAAAAAUAAGAUGGAUAACGCAAGUAUGAAAAUCUUCUAGCUCCAAUAAUUAAAUUAAAAUAACUAAUAAGUUGUGAUUUUUUCCUUAUGUCUAUAUGUUGGUGUGUAACGAGUAAUUAAAAAAAAUCUAAUUAAAAUUGAAAGACCUUUUUUGUUGUGAUGGCAAGAUUAUAUGUAUAUUACCCAAGUGUCAUCCCGGAAAAUAAAAAAUAAAACCAUUCACAAGAGAUCUUCUUUUUGAAAACUAAAUCACUUGAGAUAUGGAACUUUUAAAUAAUCAUGCCACAAAGGAAUACAAACCGUUGCAUUCUACGGUGCAUAUAGAUUUUGGAAGACCGUCCUAAUUUUCUUGUCAAGUUCAUCUGAAUUAAACAAUUUUCUAUAAUUUCACAAGUCAACUGGUUUACUUUAAUUUGUUCCUUUUUUGAAUCGACCGUUUAGUCCCAAAGACACAGCAAAUUCACCCAUGAUUUCUUGUUAUUUCUAUCAAUGAACUGGGACCAUUCAUUUGACAAUAUGACAGGUCCGUUUAUUGCGUUUUCUCCGCACACUAGGACUGAAUGAUAAGGCAUCGUCCGAUUAUGUGGUGUGGAUUUUAAGGGCAUUUUAUCUCGUGUCUUAUUACUAUUGUUUGCAUCUUAUACCAGAUUGAUUUGGAUGAAGAGAAAGAUUUCAAAGAAUUAUUAGUUUGAAUCCACUUUUCUACCUCUAAAUUUUCCAUGGGCCGCAAUCCACGGCGCAUAUUGAACCAGGUGGGGUCUAAUAACUACUGAGAAUAAGAUCAUGUGUUUAUCAUUUGGGUUCAGUUAUAUUAAAAUUCACCUAUAUAGAGCAUGAAUCUUAACCAUACAUACAAAGUAAUAAAUAAUAAAUUAUAAAUUAUAAUUAAUUUUUUAUAAUUAAUUUUUUUUAUGUAUAAUUAAAAUUCGUACUUCACCUGGGCUCCAACAAAAUCAUAUUCUUAUCAUUUUCUAUUUUCUAUAAGGUAGCUGGUAUUGGUCGAAAUUAUAUUUCAUGUUUACAGCUGCGAUUUCAAUUACGGUCGAGAAAUGGCCGACAAUUUUUUUUUAUUUGUUUUGUUUUAUUCACAUAACAACCGCUCAAGUCAAAUCAAAAGUCGGAUAAGAUUUUCCAUAUCUAAAGCAAAAGCCAGAUGGAUAAUUAUAUACGACAGUGAUCAUGUUGUAUUAGCCUAUAUAUAUUGGUUUUGGCAAGAUGACAAUUCGUACGGCAAUACAAAUGCUUGAUCUUAUCAGAUCGAUGAUUGCGAUUGUGUUUUCGCCGCGUAAUAUGACUUAAUGACAAGGCAAACGUCCGAUUCUGCGGUAUAGAUUUCAUGAACUAUGUUCAUCAUGCGUUUCCUAUGACAAUUACCAGAAUUGAUUUGGAUGAGAGCGACUUUAGGGAAUUAUUAGUUUGUGUGAUGGUCCAUACUGAAAAUAUAUGCAUCAGCAAUUUAACGUAUGAAAUAAAGAAAUAAUAGCCAUUAUAACGAGUCCGGUUGCAAGUGCUGAAAGGAUCGAUUAAUAAUAUACAGAAUCUUCUUCAGAUAAAAAUCAAGAAAUUAAUCGGAUCAAUCUUUGGUGGGGGCGGUAAUGUUUGAUGUGGCUUAAGAAAAGUGAUGAUAUUUGACCCCUCAAUAUAUUUCAACAGCCCACUUCUUAGUUAUCUCUAUUAAUUUUCAAAAUACCCUUAUUCAUUUAGUUUUUUU